GACGAACGCUGGCGGCGUGCUUAACACAUGCAAGUCGAACGGAAAGGCCCUGCUUUUGUGGGGUGCUCGAGUGGCGAACGGGUGAGUAACACGUGAGUAACCUGGCCUUGAUUAUGGGAUAACUUCAGGAAACUGGGGCUAAUACCGGAUAGGAGCUCCUGCUGCAUGGUGGGGGUUGGAAAGUUUCGGCGGUUGGGGAUGGACUCGCGGCUUAUCAGCUUGUUGGUGGGGAAGUGGCUUACGAAGGCAUUGACGAGUAGCCGGACGGAGAGGGUGACCGGCCACAGUGGGACUGGGAUACGGCCCCGACUCCUACGGCAGGCAGCAGUGGCGGAUGUUGCACUAUGGGCGGAAGCCUGAUGCAGCAACGCCGCGUGCGGGAUAACGGCCUUCGGGUUGUAAACCGCUUUCGCCUGUGACGAAGCGUAAGUGACGGUAAUGGGUAAAGAAGCACCGGCUAACUACGUG
rnacentral:rRNA from 1 species